GACGAACGCUGGCGGCGUGCUUAACACAUGCAAGUCGAACGAUGAACCGGAGCUUGCUCUGGGGAUUAGUGGCGAACGGGUGAGUAACACGUGGGCAACCUGCCCCAGACACCGGGAUAACCAUUGGAAACGAUGGCUAAUACCGGAUACGACCACUUCGGGCAUCCGAUGGUGGUGGAAAGGAUUCUGGUCUGGGAUGGGCCCGCGGCCUAUCAGCUUGUUGGUGGGGUAAUGGCCUACCAAGGCGACGACGGGUAGCCGGCCUGAGAGGGCGACCGGCCACACUGGGACUGAGACACGGCCCAGACUCCUACGGGAGGCAGCAGUGGGGAAUAUUGCGCAAUGGGCGAAAGCCUGACGCAGCGACGCCGCGUGAGGGACGAAGGUCUUCGGAUUGUAAACCUCUUUCAGCAGGGAUGAAGCGAAAGUGACAGUACCUGCAGAAGAAGCACCGGCUAACUACGUGCCAGCAGCCGCGGU
rnacentral:rRNA from 1 species